UCAUUUAAUUAGAAAUCUGUUGGGUUUAAAAUCGGUCUUUAAGCAGCGUGGCCUACACGCGCCUUUCGUUUUCUCUCUCCAAAGAGAGAUCACCAUCUGCGUGUGUGGAGGCUCUCCGGUUUACAUUACGGCGACCUCGCCGGACCCGUGUGUAGCUCUCCCACCCCUCCCUUUCAAGAUCUUCAAAGCUUAAUGGUCGGAGCAGUCUAGAUCCCGCCUCCGGAGGAUGGUGGAGUUGCGGCUGGAAACGGAAACAUAGACAUCGGGGCCUAGGGUUUAUACUUUCGGAUCUUCGAGAGAAUUUGCCAACGACGGAGCAGUCUUUGAGGAUGGCGGUUCCUUGGGAUCUGUCUCCUCCGGUGCGGAUUUCUUCUCGGCUUAGAGGCGAUGGCGGGUUGUACGCGAUGCGUCGGACCUGCGAGUUUGGUGGCGUAACAGAGUAAUUGCGGUGGUUAGGGCUUUGGGUUUCGAUUUCUUUAUAGAUCCGGCGUCAGUGGCCGCGGGUCCCCUCCGACAGUGGUCCCUUUGCGGUGAGUAUUGACGAAGCAGAGGCUGGUUUGGACACCCAGCCGAAGUAAAGUCACGAUUUCUGGAUUUGGAGACUUAAGUAUUCAUCGGAGUUAAAGCUCUACUUCUCACCGAGGAACCGAAUCAUCUUGCUAUUUGUAAUUGCUGUUGUUUCAUGUUCUGCUUGCUCUUUGGAACCUAUGGCCGUGCUUUUCUCCGGUAAACCGGAAUUGAUGUACUGUUUCGAGAUUCCUUUUUAAGGGUUGAUUUUUAAUUAAUUUUAUUAUUAAAAAAAAUCUGCUAAGCCUUUUGCUACAUUUCAUCAAAUCAUGCGUGACAUGUGUACUACGUUUUUCUUCUCUGCCUGACAGAUUUAAUUAAAUGGGCUUUUUAAAUUUGUUGUGUUUACUAAUCAAACCCAUAACAUACACACUAUAAAUACCCUCUCCGUCUUCAACAUUUUCAUAUUUUUGGUUGUUUUUUAACAUUUUCAUAUUUGAUUUCUAAGGUUCAAUAAUGUUCUUCAUCCUCUGCUUCGGUAAACUGUCCACAGAGUUUUUGAACGGUGAUGAUAGAGGAGAAUCUCAGGAGCAAUUUGACAUACGUGUCUUAACGCUGGGUAAGAAAAAUUGAAACGUUGCGGAUGCAUUCAAUCGUUGUCAUUAACGACGAUCUUAAUUUCUUUAUCCCAUUCAUAUCAUGAUCCUCAUUCAAUGCAUCUCUCCUCUCUUCAGUCGGUAAAUCUCAUUUAUAAAAAGAUUAGCCGUCAUGUCCUGAACACCAUCCUUUCAUUUCUUACAAUCCAAAAAAAAAAAAAUUCUGCAGAAUGACGAUCUCAUCUAUCCUUCCCACGGAUUUAAAAUCAGGUCUCUGUAGACCAUCGUCGAAGUUUGUUUCCUCAAUUCUGGGAGUCGAAGAAUGUGCGAAGAGGCGGCGAGCCUAUCUACGUCAAUAUGAUUCCUCUUGACUCGAAGAGAUUACAUCUCCUCUGCAAUUCGGCUCCAUAACGUCUCUGCCAUUAUUCAAUCGAUGCAACUAAGGACCCCUUUACAUCACUUGAACCAAGAGGAACGAUUGGCUUCCACUACGACGCAUUCAAUACCCCUCCCCUUCUCCAUGGUUACAUAAGAAAUAUUCUAUUAUAAAUAAGGAUGUAAUCUUCGAUUGAACUCAUCACUACGAUGAUAAAGUUUUGUGUUUCAUUGAGGGAUAUUUAUGUGUCUUUGAUAUAGGUAAAUCAUUGUUUUUUU